rnacentral:rRNA from 1 species
UACGAAGGGGGCUAGCGUUGUUCGGAUUUACUGGGCGUAAAGCGCACGUAGGCGGAUCGUUAAGUCGAGGGUGAAAUCCUGGAGCUCAACUCCAGAACUGCCUUCGAUACUGGCGAUCUAGAGUCCGGAAGAGGUGAGUGGAACUCCUAGUGUAGAGGUGGAAUUCGUAGAUAUUAGGAAGAACACCAGUGGCGAAGGCGGCUCACUGGUCCGGUACUGACGCUGAUGUGCGAAAGCGUGGGGAGCAACAGG